ACGAACGCUGGCGGCGUGCUUAACACAUGCAAGUCGAACGGAAAGGCCCUGCUUUUGUGGGGUGCUCGAGUGGCGAAGGGGUGAGUAACACGUGAGUAACCUGCCCUUGACUUUGGGAUAACGUUAGGAAACUGGGGCUAAUACCGGAACGGAGCUCCUGCUGCAUGUUGGGGGUUGGGAAGUUGCGGCGGUUGGGGAUGGACUCGCGGGUUAUCAGCUUGUUUGAGGGGGUGUGGCUUACGAAGGCUUUGACGGGUGGCCGGCCUGAGAGGGUGUACGGCCACGUUGGGACUGAGAUGCGGCCCAGAAUCCUACGAGAGGCAGCAGUGGGGAAUAUUGCACAAUGGGCGGAAGCCUGAUGCAGCAACGCCGCGUGCGGGAUGAAGGCCUUCGGGUUGUAAACCGCUUUCGCCUGUGACGAAGCGGGAGUGACGGUAGUGGGUAAAGAAGCACCGGCUAACUACGUG
rnacentral:rRNA from 1 species